GAAAUCCUGUUGGGUGCGUGGUGCCCCUGUUUAACAACCCACAGCUGAUAAUAGGGAGCCGGAGUCCCUGUGUGGAUGAGAAGCCUGCGUUGACAGGACCUCAGAAGCACAGGGCAGGCUCCCACCCUACGAGAGUAGGGUUGGUUUAAACGGGCAAAACGGCCAGACGGGAUCCA
rnacentral:other from 22 species